rnacentral:rRNA from 1 species
AGUGAACGCUGGCGGCGUGCUUAACACAUGCAAGUCGAACGAGAACGGGUUAUAGCUUGCUAUAAUUGUCAGCUAAGUGGCGCACGGGUGAGUAAUGUAUAGGUAAUAUGCCUCUUACUAAGGGAUAACAAAUGGAAACGUUUGCUAAUACCUUAUACUCCUUAUUAACAUAAGUUAAUAAGGGAAAGAUUUAUUGGUAAGAGAUUAGCCUGUAUUGUAUCAGUUAGUUGGUGGGGUAAUGGCUUGCCAAGACUAUGACACAUAACUGGUUUGAGAGGAUGAUCAGUCACACUGGAACUAAGACACGGUCCAGACUCCUACGGGAGGCAGCAGUGGGGAAUAUUGCACAAUGGACGAAAGUCUGAUGCAGCAACGCCGCGUGGAGGAUGACACAUUUCGGUGCGUAAACUCCUUUUAUAUGAGAAGAUAAUGACGGUAUUAUAUGAAUAAGCACCGGCUAACUCCGUGCCAGCCGCCGCCGUAA